CUACGGGUGGCUCCAGUGGGGAAUCUUAGACAAUGGGCGCAAGCCUGAUCUAGCCAUGCCGCGUGAGUGAUGAAGGCCUUAGGGUCGUAAAGCUCUUUCGCUGGGGAAGAUAAUGACGGUACCCAGUAAAGAAACCCCGGCUAACUCCGUGCCAGCAGCCGCGGUAAUACGGAGGGGGUUAGCGUUGUUCGGAAUUACUGGGCGUAAAGCGCGCGUAGGCGGGCUGUUAAGUCGGGGGUGAAAUCCCGGGGCUCAACCCCGGAACGGCCUUCGAUACUGGCAGUCUGGAGUUCGAGAGAGGUGAGUGGAAUUCCGAGUGUAGAGGUGAAAUUCGUAGAUAUUCGGAGGAACACCAGUGGCGAAGGCGGCUCACUGGCUCGAUACUGACGCUGAGGUGCGAAAGUGUGGGGAGCAAACAGGAUUAGAUACCCCCGUAGUC
rnacentral:rRNA from 1 species